rnacentral:tRNA from 1 species
GGCGAGUUGGCAGAGCGGUGAUGCAAAUGAUUGCAAAUCAUUACCAGGCCGGUUCGACUCCGGUGCUCGCCUCCA